rnacentral:rRNA from 1 species
UACGUAGGUGGCAAGCGUUGUCCGGAUUUACUGGGCGUAAAGAGCGCGCAGGCGGUCGUUCAAGUCGCGUGUGAAAGCCCCCGGCUCAACUGGGGAGGGUCACGCGAUACUGAUCGACUCGAAGGCAGGAGAGGGAAGCGGAAUUCCCGGUGUAGUGGUGAAAUGCGUAGAUAUCGGGAGGAACACCCGUGGCGAAGGCGGCUCACUGGGCCGGUCCUGACGCUGAGACGCGAAGGCGUGGGGAGCGAACGGG